GUCCCGUGCGUCUCAGUUGGUAGAGCAUGGUGUUUGCAACGCCAGGGUUGUGGGUUCGAUUCCCACGGGGGACC
rnacentral:tRNA from 1 species